UACGUAGGGUGCAAGCGUUAAUCGGAAUUACUGGGCGUAAAGCGUGCGCAGGCGGUUAUGCAAGACAGAUGUGAAAUCCCCGGGCUCAACCUGGGAACUGCAUUUGUGACUGCAUAGCUGGAGUGCGGCAGAGGGGGAUGGAAUUCCGCGUGUAGCAGUGAAAUGCGUAGAUAUGCGGAGGAACACCGAUGGCGAAGGCCAAUCCCCUGGGCCUGCACUGACGCUCAUGCACGAAAGCGUGGGGAGCGAUCCGG
rnacentral:rRNA from 1 species